CGGAUGGGGAACGAGCCAGUUCACCCACGGCACAGCGGACAGGAGGUGAUGGGGCUUUUGACAGGAGGAGGGGUGAGUUGGGGCUGGGGUGCCCCCUCCAGCUCCUUAUUGCCACCCCCCCACCCGGCUGUGCUCAGGGACACAGAGGGAAGGCCACAUUGAGGAUGCGGGGAGAAGACGGCCAUCUGCAAGCUAAGGAGAGAGGCCUCAGAAUGAAGCCAACCUUGAUCUUGGACUUCCUGCCUCCAGGACUGAGGAACAGCAAGGUCCUCACGAGCAGGAACCCAAACGGAGUCAUCCUAAUCACAUGGACCCUGAGAGCAUGUGCUUCGAGGCACAAUAAGAACAAUCAGGAAUUUCAGUGGCUGGAAUGUACUCUAACCCUGACCCCUAAGAACCAAAACUAUGCUUCUUACUAAAAAACAAAACAAAGAAUUCCUAUCUCAGGAUCAGAUCAGGGAAAUAAAGAUCUCUGAGAUCAGGCAGGCUGGACUCAAAUGCCUGUCCUUACUAGACAUGUGCACCUGGACAAGUCACCUCCCUUGCGCUUAGGACAGGGUCUCAGCUUGCCAUGGCCAGUCAAGCCCUGUGUGUCGUGCCCCUUUCAAUCCCAUGAGUCACUGGCCUUUCCUCAGUGCGCCACGCUCCUGUGGACCUCAGGGCCUUUGUGCUUGCUGCUCCUGCUGCCUGAAUCGUCCUGCUCCCCUUCGCCUGGUGACUCACCCUACUGACUGGGCAAGCCUCCCCUGGCUGCCCCUGGGUGAAGUCAGGUCUACCUGUUACACGCUUCGCUGCCACUCUGGACCUCUGCAGGUUGAAAUUAUUUGUGUCAUUUCUUCUUACAAUUAAUAAGCACUUGAUACCAGGUUCUACUUCAGAGAUUCUGAAAGUGAGUGAUUUCAUUUCAUUCUCAUGGUGCCCUCAUAAAGUAUCGUAAGCACCCCACUUCGUGGAAGGGGAGGCUGAAGUUCAGAGAAAUUAAACAACUCGCCUGAGGUUGCACAGCGAUUGAGUGUCAGAGCUCCCCUCCUAAGCCUGUCCUCGCAGGCUGACUCUGAGCUCUGUGAGGGUGGAUGCACAUCGGGUCGUUGUACGCAUCCCCAGGGCUGAGUGCCCAGACCCACUGAAUCACAGAUGACUGCAAAGCACUGACGACCUAAAUGAAACAGCAUCGCACUAGCAACAAGCACUCCUAGUGUUCAGAUCUUGGUUUCUAAUACCAUUCUCUAAUCAGAGGAACCACACUCGGAGAAACGGCUGCUUCUAAGAUUGGGAUCAGGAAAUACACAUGAGAAGAACCUGCAGCAUCUUGCAGUGCUAGAAAGUAAGGAAGUCCCCCAGAAAAAUCAAACAAGCUAAAAAAAAAAAAAAAAAAAAAAACCACCAAAACACAUUGAUAGGAGUGUGUCAAAAACCAAAGGUGGGCUUCCCUGGUGGUCCAGUGGAAAAGAAUCUGACUGCCAAUGCAGGAGACAUGGGUUGGACCCCUGGUUUGGGAAGAUCCCAAAUGCCAAGGAGCAGCUAAGCCUCUAGAGCCUCAACUAUUAAGCCCUAAGUACUGAAGGCCGCACACCCUAGAGCCUGUGCUCCAGGACAAGAGAAGUCACUGCAAUAAGAAGUCUGUGUGUUGCAACUAGAGAAAAGCCUGCAAUGAAGACCCAACACAGCCAAAAAUAAAUAAAUUAAAAACAAAACAAAGGAGCCAACUGAAAGGGCUCCCAGUGGCCAAUGCUGGAGCAAUUUGAGCAACAAAAUAAAGUAGUAUUGGUUAUAAUCCAGAGUAUAAAUAAAUACUCAGGAAGCUAUACUGAUCUAAUUAAAUGACUGGAUAAACUAAUAAACAGGGGGAGAAGAGGUAAGCCUUUCAUGCAGAAGGAUUCCAAGUAAUUUAUGUAGAUAUCCACCCUUAAGGAGAACACACAUGUCCACUCUCUAUGUGGGCUGCAUAUAGUGACUUCCUUCCAAAGGAAAAGGGGAAAAGUCACUUUACAAUGGAGAAACCUGACAAAUACUAAGUCAACCAGGUGAUGAAGGCCAAUAUCAACAUGCAUAAAGUUGAUAGUACAUAUCCUUUUUUAAAAAAAGAAUUCUCUUACUUUCUUUUAUUUUGGCCUCACUGCUCCACCUGUGGGAUUUUAGUUCCCUGACCAGGGAUCAAACCCAGGCCCCCUGAAUUGGGGGGAACAGUGUCCUAACCACUGGACCACCAAGGAAGUCCCCAAUUGUAUGUAUCCUUGACAUGGCAUGAUGGAAAUGGCCCUUUAUCUCUUUGGUCUUCCUCCCUCAAACCCAUCAUUCCAGGAUUACCACAAGAAAUAUACCAGACAAAUGCCAAUAGAGGAGUAUCCUACCAAAUAUUUGACCAGGUCUCUCAGAACAAUUAAGAUUAUCAAAAUCAAGCAAAGUCAGAGAACCUGCCAAAGCUAAAAGGAGACUAAAGAGACAGGACAACUAAGAGACUGGAUCUUAAAAGUUCUCAUCACAAGAGGAAAAAAAUCUAACUGUGGUGAUGGAUGUUAAUCUUUAACCAUCUUAUUAUGGUGAUCAUUAUGUAAUAUACACAUGCAUCAAAUCAUUAUGCUGUAUACCCCAAAACCAAUGCAAUGUUAUAUAUCAAUUAUCUAUCUCUUUUUAGAGAGAGAAGAUAACUAAGUGUAAUGUGGUAUCCUAGAUGAGAUUCUGGAAGACAAAAAGGACAUUAGGUAAAAACAAAGGAAAUCAAAACAUGAACUAGGUUUGACAAGAAUCUAUCAGUCAUGGUUCAUUAAGUAUAACAAAUGUAUCCUACUAAUGAAAGAUGUUACAAAUACAGGAAACUGGAUGUGGGUAAAAAGGUAACUGUUUUCUGUGCAAUAUUUCUGUAAAUCUAAAAUUCUUCUAAAAAGUAAAGUAAAAAAAAAAGUAAAGUCUACGAAUGAUAGCAAUGAUAAAGCAUAGAUGAAUGAUCACAAUACUUCAUUAAUCAUCAUGGUGACAAUGACUAUAGCUCUCUUCUUACAUUGCUAUUGUGAGCACUCCGUAGGACCAACAUAAAGCAUUUAGCAUGAGUUAUAGCUCAAUUCUGGAGAAGGCAAUGGCACCCCACUCCAGUACUCUUGCCUGGAAAAUCCCACGGACAGAGGAGCCUGGUAGGCUGCAGUCCAUGGGGUUGUUAAGAGUCAGACACGGCUGAGCGACUUCACUUUCACUUUUCACUUUCAUGGACUGGAGAAGGAAAUGGCAACCCACUCCAGUGUUCUUGCCUGGAGAAUCCCAGGGAUGGGGGAGCCCGGUGGGCUGCUGUCUAUGGGGUCGCACAGAGUCGGACACGACUGAAGCGACUUAGCAGCGGCAGCAGCAGCAGCAUAGCUCAAUUCAGAGCACUGCACUUGUCACCAUUCUACGAAAUCUAUGCCAUCCACCAUGGAAGCCAUGAGCUCUACAUGACAAAAUUUAAAUUAAGUAAAAAUUAAAUCAAUGGAGUUCUUGUGGCAAGAAAACUGGAGUGGUUUGUCAUUCCCUCCUCGUUUUGUCAGAACUUUCCACUAUGACCCAUCCAUCUUGGGUGGCCCUGCACAGCAUAGCUCAAAGCUUUAUUGAGUUAAUGCAAGCCCCUUGACCACAACAAAGCUACAAUCCAUGAAGCUCCAAUACUUUGGCCACCUGAUGUGAAGAGCAGAUUUCACUGGAAAAGACUGAUGCUAGGAAAGAUUAAAGGCAAAAGGAGAAGGGCGUGGCAGAGGACGAGAUGGUUAGAUAAUAUCACUGACUCAAUGGACAUAAGUUUGAGCAAACUCCAGAAGAUAAUGAUGGACAAGGAAGAGUGGUGUGCUGCAGUCACAGGGGUUGCAAAGAGUCGGACACAACUUAGCAGCUGAACAACAACAACAACAAAAAUUAAGUUCAUUAAAUGCUCAGUUCUUUAGUGCUACCAGCUACAUGUCAAGGGCCCAGGAGCCACAUAGAGCUCGUGGCUAUUAAAUUUGGCAGUAUUGAUUAAAAAAAAAUGCCCAUGAGCACAGAGUGUUCUGUCGGACAACACUGCACAAAACAAUAAACAGCAUGAUUGUUUGUUCAGUGUUCUUGACUCCUUCGGGUCCUUCUGCAAAUCUUACCUUCUCAACCUUCCUGACAGCCCUCUUUCAAACUGCAACCCCCACCCCCACCCCACAUACCC